rnacentral:rRNA from 1 species
GAUGAACGCUGGCGGCGUGCCUAAUACAUGCAAGUCGAGCGAACGGCCGAGAAGCUUGCUUCUCUGAUGUUAGCGGCGGACGGGUGAGUAACACGUGGAUAACCUACCUAUAAGACUGGGAUAACUUCGGGAAACCGGAGCUAAUACCGGAUGAUAUUUUGAACCGCAUGGUUCAAAAGUGAAAGACGGUCUUGCUGUCACUUAUAGAUGGAUCCGCGCUGCAUUAGCUAGUUGGUAAGGUAACGGCUUACCAAGGCAACGAUGCAUAGCCGACCUGAGAGGGUGAUCGGCCACACUGGAACUGAGACACGGUCCAGACUCCUACGGGAGGCAGCAGUAGGGAAUCUUCCGCAAUGGGCGAAAGCCUGACGGAGCAACGCCGCGUGAGUGAUGAAGGUCUUCGGAUCGUAAAACUCUGUUAUUAGGGAAGAACAUAUGUGUAAGUAACUGUGCACAUCUUGACGGUACCUAAUCAGAAAGCCACGGCUAACUACGUG